rnacentral:lncRNA from 1 species
UUUUCAUGCGCGAAGCUCGCCUCGUUUUGCAUGCCAGAAGCCAGCCCUGUUUUCUAUGAGUGGAGCUCGCCUUAUUUUGCGGGCCAUGAUUCACCUCGUUCUGCGGGAGCUGAGUUGGCUUCGUUUUGGGUGUGUCGAGCCUGCCUAACCCAUGUUUUUUUGACAAAUAUGUAAAUUUUUUAUUUUUGCAAAAGAUUUUUCCUAAGCAUUAAUUUGAACUUUUUAAGGAAUUUGGGAGCAGUUUUAUGAUUUAUUCAGCAACAAAUGUAUAUUUAGUUGAAUAUUUUAGUUGAAAACUAAAAAAAUAGGUGAAAAAAUAUGAGGCUCAUAACAUUGUCAAAUGGGGUCCUACACUCAAGAAUCUCAACUGAAAGUCUCACCUCAAUUUUCAAAACUUCACAGUGAGGCAAAGGUGAAAAUAAAUAGAUUGAACAGUGAUUUAUGUACGAAUUUGCAAAACUGACUGAAAACCAUACGUAUUAAUCCAUGUUUUUUGUGAAAAUUGAAUUUUUUUUUAAUUUUCUCGAAAUCUUUUCUGUCAGCAUUAAAAAAGUCUUUAUAAUGUAUUUGGAAGUGAAUUUACGAUUUAUUCAGCACAAGUGUAUAUUUAGUAGAAUAUUUAAACCGAAAAGUAAAAAAUAUAGAGAUGUUAAAAUGUAUAUUUAGUGUACAAUAGAUUUUGCACGGUAAAAUAUAUUUUAAAGAACAUGAAUAUAAUAGUUUGUUGUAGUGGUGCCAAAAAGUCACAUGUACUUCAAAAUAUAUUUUUCCGGGUGUGGAGCCCAACUCGUUUUCUGAGCACCUAGGAGUUUGCCUCAUCCUGCGUGCGAGGGGUCCGGCUCGUCGUGUGUACCUAGGUUCGCCUCGUUCUGCAUGUGAACACCUCACAUCGUUUUUUAGUCGGAGGUGAAAAUAAAUUAAUACUUAAAUCAUCUUUCAAUCUAUUAUUUUCACCUUGGCUUUUCUUGAAGUUUACAAAUUAACAUAUGAUUUUCCGUUGGUAUUCUUUAGGGUGGAAUCCCUUUUUGACAAUGUUUUGGGCCUCACUAUAAUAUUUUUCACUUACUUUUUUUAGUUUUCAUCUUAAAUAUUCUACUAAAUAUACAUUUGUUGCUCAAUAAUCGUAAAACCACUUCUUUAUGCUUUAUAAAGUUUUCCUUAAUGCUCAUUGAAAUAUUUUGCAAAAAAUAAAAAAUUUGCAUUUUACACAAAAGAUGUGACAGUAUCGCACACAUGUUUAGUGUCCUUUAGUUAUAAGAGUAUUUAUUUUGAUUGAAGUUGAAUCUUGGUGCUAUUUUUAGCAACGUUGUCGAACAAUACACAAGUGUAUUUGAUUGAAGUUGGAAUACGCUAAACUAUUUAGUAAAGUUGCUAUUUUGAACUCUUAACCCACGAGAUUUAAACCUUAAACCUUUCAUUUAUAAGUAGAUAAAAGUAACACUAGACAACAAAAAAGAAAACCACUAAACCUUUCAUUCGUUACAUAUUUUAGGCAAAAAAAAAAAAAAAACACAAAACAAAGGUAUUUUAGAAUACCUCAUACUUUUUGGACAGACAACAGAGACGAAAGGAUUAUUUUUGCUCAGCUAACCCAAACGAUGGAGAGAGUUUUCAAUGUGCCGCGAAUACUGCCAGUUUCGAUCCCAGGACAUAUUGUAUUCGAACAUCAUCACUCAAAUCCAACAACUAUGAGGGAGCUGGCGACUGAUAUCUCCAAAUUAAAUAUUUACUAGAAUUAUUGAGAAAACGGACUGGAGUGCAUUUUUGGAAUACACAAAUUCCUUUGCUCUUGUGUAGUUACGUUUACAAUUCUGCAAUUUUAAUCUGAAAAAAAAUGAAGUUUUCAUUUGUUGUUGGAACUCUUAAUGUAAAUCGGGAAUUUUGGUAAGACAUUAUAACCGCGUGGCUGAUAAGGACAUGUAACUUAAGUGGUCUCACAUGAGUUAUGUUUUGGUCUCAACGAUUUCAUUGAAAUUUCAAAAACCACACAAGAUUUUGAUUUCAGCACCCGAUAUUGAAAAUGUCAUGUAACUCAAGUGGUUAAGAGUAUUUCACAUGAGCUCGAAGUCUUGUGUUGAUCAAGGAUUUAAAUAUCGAUAAUAUCGGCGAUAUUUCGCCGAUAUUAUCGUUUUUUUGCUUCACCGAUAUAUUAAUAAAUAUCAAAAAAAUUUCGUCAAAAUAUCGCAAUAUUAUCGAUAAUAUCGCGAUAUUACCGAUAAUAUCGCGAUAUUACCGAUAAUAUCACGAUAUUACCGAUAAUAUCGCGAAAUAUUUCAAAAGUACUGAAAAUAUUAAACUAACAAGAUCAGAUAGCACAUCUAAUCUUAGCCAAAAGACAGAGAAAAGAUUGUCUUCAUCAGUUUUGGAAUGUAGCUUUUAUAGACUUGUUUGGUUACUCACUUCCAUUGCACAGCCGAUGUGGGAUGAAAACUAUCUUUUAUAGACUGUUUGCUUGCUCAGUUUUAUUGCACAGCCGAUGUGGGAAGGGUUAUUAUCAUGCCAGGUUUAUAUUGUAACCAUUACUUCCUGCGAAUGCUAGCUCAAAUUGGGAAGGGUUAUUAUGAUGCUGCUUUAGUCAGUUCCUUCCCUCUUUCUUUUUACUGUAAUUUCAUCAUUGAUCACCAAGAUAAUAAGUUGUCAAUACAAAAUACAAUAAAUAUUUGUUUUGUUAGUAAUGAUGCUCAACUUGUGUUGGUAAUGGUUCUAAUCUUGUAUGAUGUUAUAAAACUAAGGAAUUUUUACUAGAAGCAACGUUCUUUUUUCCUCAUCUUACUGCAUGGAUGUAAGAAAAGUUCCAAAUCGGAGAGUUAAUUAAGAAAUUCCUCACAAAGUUUAUUAGGAGUUGUGUCAUAACUCUUAUUGCCAAUUAAUUUUGGGGUUGAAACCUUAGUUUUCUUCAUGGAUCUGGAGCAUAUAUGCUUGCAUAUUAAAGGAAGUUGAGUUUCCACUAUAAAAAGUUAUUACAAAUAGUUACCACACCCAAUACUACAUGUAUGUUUGGGUGAGAGACUCCCAAACUACAAGGCAUGCAUUUUAGGCAAAUGAAGAAGAAAUAUGUCGCACAAAGUUAAAUAUGAGGAAUUAGAAAUGUAUCACAUGAACAUUACAAAUAUAUGUAAAAGAAAUUUGUUAAUGACUCAUUUUAAGCAGUCAUUUGCAAAUCCCUCACGUGUUGCAUUUCUAAUCUCGCAUAUCUAUCUUUUUGUGAUUUAUUUCUUCAUGACUAUGUCUAAAUUCUCCUAAAAUUCCUCUCUUAGAUCUUAUGUGCCCCUCUUUUUUUUGUUUCUCACUCACUCAUGUCUAAAUCUUGUCGAGUUGCAUAUAUUUAGUUGUACAAAUGAGCAUUAAAUUGUUAAUAUCAUGCAAUGUAUAAAAUGUAAAAUAUUGUACUAAUUCAUUAUAUAUAAAUGAUUAUGGUGUGUUUAAACUUCUUUCAUUAAUUACUACAUAUUUUCUACACUCACAAUGUUUGCCAGCUCGUUAUAUAAUCAACUUGAUAAUGUUAAAUCCAUCAUGCAAUGCAUUUCUUUCCAAAUUUUUGUGAUAAACUAAUAGAUAAUUGACUAAAUAAACAUCCUGCAAAGUUUCAAUAAAAAUUUCCAAGUUUUUCUUACAAUUUUCGUGGUUUCCAUGUAAUUUUUAUCGAUAUCGAUAUUAUCCCGAUAUUUCCAUCGAUAUUUCCGUGUUUUCAGACUACCGAUAUUUCCGAUAUUACCGAUAUUUUCUUCCUUGGUGUUGAUGCACAAAAUCAGCGAAGACUUUGGUACAACAGAAAGUGUCAGGUUUUGUGACCUUCGCUUGGUUGCUUCGGUCACUAGUGAGGAUAAGUACGUAAAUGAAUAGAGACAGAGAAGCAAACACAGGAUGUACGUGGUUCACCCAGAUUGGCUACGUCCACGGAGUAGAGGAGUUCUUAUUAGUAGUGAAGGGCUUACACAAGUACAAAGGAUCAAGCUCUCAAUUUAGUGAGUUCUUGUGAAUGAUUUAACACAAAUGGCAUUAGGCCAUAUUGUGGGGGAAUGACCCCUAUUUAUAGAAAAACUUGUAGCUUUGUCACAUUGACAUGUGUCAUGUUAUGAUUGGUUCUUGAUGUCGACACGUGCUGCGCUCUGAUUGGCUUCUAAUCUUGACACGUGUCGAGUAGUGAUUGGCCUCCUGGUCGGAGGGGAAACUCUUCUGGGUCCUUGACAGUAUAGCGUUGGCCGGUGCUCGGUAGUUUCGGGAUUAGUCAAGUAUGGUACAAACAGUGCUCCCCUAAGUUCCCGAGUGAGGGAAACUCCUCGGUUGGGGACUUGCAAGAUCCAAUCCCUUGAGUAAUCACGAAACUUCUAAGUACUGAAGUGUGGUCUGAUCUUCAUCUGCCCUUCUCUGGAAGUACCUUUCCUCCAUCCGGGAAUGGUGUAUUUAGCUGAUGUUGACGCACAAGGUAAUGUAUCAAUUUCACUUGAAGCUUAGUUGUAGUUUCGGGCUUAGUCAAGUGUGAUACAAACCCUAUAGUAGGAGUCCCCCAAGUUGCCGAGCUAGGAGAUCUGCCGAAAGAGGUGACAGACAAGGUAAGCAGUCAAACUUCUAAGUAAGCAACCCAGGAUCAGAGGUUUGACUUCGGCUUCCGGUUGAUUGUUCUCCUUCUCCUUGUCUCUCAUUCAACUGCCAGGAUAAGGAGAAGCAAAUGGAUAAGAGAUGAUAUGAGAUACUUUUGCUUUUGAAGAAGUAACUUUCCACAGGCUUAUUCUUGAACUGUGCUGGAGGGUUUUCUGGUGCCCUUCAGAGUAUAAGGCCGACUCAAAAAUUUGAGGGUCAAAACAAGUCCAUCAAAUCUAGAGUACGUUCGACCUUGAUGAUAUGGGAUACUUUUGCUGUUGACGGAAUAAUGAAUGUGGUAUGGAAAGGUGUCGUGCUGUAGUGAUCUGUUUCAGCUCACCGUUGAACCUUCUGCUUCAAUCUUUUGCAUGGCAGAAGUGGUGUGCAACCUUUGCAUUUAAAUGGUCAUUCAGAACAUUCCUUCAUAGUGACUCAUCCACGCUUGGCAGCUUCAGUGUAAAGAGCCAAUAUCUGAUCAACUGUCAUGAGGCAUUUGCCGGUGGAAUUCGUGACCUUGACAGCAGUUGAGGAUGAGUACUCGAGAGCAAUGCUAAGUAAGCAACCAGGCAAAGGCUCCAGGCAGUCAGUUCCAAAUUGGAGGUUUGACUUCAGGUUCCGACUGACUGCUCUCUUUCUCCUUGUCCUGCAGGUGUGGACAAGGACAAAGACAAAGACAGGGAGAAAGCAUGAUAUGGGAUACUCUUGCUUUCGACCCUGAUGAUAUGAGAUACUCUUGUUCUUGGUGUGGCUUAUUUGCUGAGGUAUUAUCGGGGGGAAAUAAAGCUGAGUAUUUCGAGAGGUUAUGUUGAGGGUGCCUUUUCGAAUGCGAGAAAGGGUUGAGCAUUUUUGCAGGUUUUCCUGUCCGUUGAGGAGGGAGGUCAAUGUAUAUAGGGAUUUCCCAAUAACAAGUAGUAAUGCUAUUCCUUUACCCUUUUUGGUCACAGCAAUGUAGUGGGAGCUGCCAGCUUCACGUGUUUUAAUUUUGUCAGAGCACUUUGAAAAAGUGGUAUGUGGUAUCUGGAAAGCUGAUGUUACGUGUGAAGAUUACAGACAAGCUUUAUCUAAGGAAAUCUGGCUCUCGAAGUUCUGAGAGUUGUGCCUCUUCGGUUUUCGAACAAGCAAUCCCGUCGAGGAUCUGACUCUCGAGAUUCGGAAAGCGGUGCUACUCCGGUUUUUGAGAAAGUAAUUAUGUUGGGAGUCUUUUCUCGAAUGUGAGUAAAGGUUGGACGUUCUUGCCAACCUGUCUUGCCGCAAAACACGGAGGUCGACACACAUAGGGACUUUCCAGUUGUCAAGCAGUGGUGCUGUUCCUUUACCCUUAUGGGUAAUAGUAGGGUAGCUGGAACUUCGAAAUUCUCGUGCCUAAACUUUAUCAGAGAUCUUUGACAAAGUUAUAUGUGGUACCCGAGGAGUUGAUGGUGCAUAUGGAGAGCGGUGAUUGAACAGUAAGAUUCACGUGCUUUCUACUUCACCAGAAAUCUUCGACAGAUUGCCCGUAAUUUCCGCAAAGCUGAGUGUGCAUGUGACAGGUGCUGACGAGGCUGAAAAAGCAGGUGCUUCUUCGAUUUCUGAGAUCGGCCCUCGUGGUCUCUGAGCAGCCCAGCUUUUGAGAAAACAAACGCCUCUUCGAUUUCUGAAGCUCCGUCGAGUGCAGAUUUUUAUAGAGGCUGGCAUUAAGUUCCACAGCACACUUGAAUCUCUACCAGUAGAAGCUCAUUUCUUGCACUUCUAAGAUCUUGAUUUGUCUGACCUCUUCCUUCUUCAACACAUUUGAAAAUGUCUGGACCCUCCGACCGUCGUUUUGACUUGAACCUUGGAGAAGAGACAGCCACGCCUUCUUCAGACAACAUAUGGCGCCCAUCCUUCAUAUCCCCUACUGGUCCUCUUACCGUUGGGGAUUCUGUGAUGAAGAAUGAUAUGACCGCUGCAGUGGUGGCCAGGAACCUUCUCACUCCCAAAGAUAACAGACUACUUUCCAAACGGUCUGAUGAGUUGGCUGUUAAGGACUCUCUGGCUCUUAGUGUUCAGUGUGCAGGUUCUGUGUCUAAUAUGGCCCAACGCCUAUUUGCUAGAACCCGCCAAGUUGAAUCAUUGGCUGCUGAAGUGAUGAGUCUCAAACAGGAGAUUAGAGGGCUCAAGCAUGAGAAUAAGCAGUUGCACCGGCUCGCCCAUGACUAUGCUACAAACAUGAAGAGGAAGCUUGACCAGAUGAAGGAAUCUGAUGGUAAGGUUUUACUUGAUCAUCAGCGGUUUGUGGGUUUGUUCCAAAGGCAUUUAUUGCCUUCGUCCUCUGGGGCUGUACCUGGUAAUGAAGCUUCAAAUGAUGAACCUCCAAUGCCUCCUCCUUCUGGGGUUUUGUCAAGUACUGAGGCUCCGGAUAACCACCCUCCGGUGCUUUCUCUUUCUGGGGCUCUACCGACUGCUGAGACUUCCCCUAAGCAACCUUUGUGAAGGCUCCCUUUUGUUUGUUUAUUUUGACUCAUGUAUAUGUACAUAUUUGUGGCUUAUCGAAAAUAUUAAUAAAUAAGCUUUGCUUCAUUUCAACAUAUUGUGUUAAAUACACCAAAGCCUUCUUCAUAAAGUUCUUUGAAUUUUUGCUUUUGUUGAAACCUGUAUUGUUGAAGCUUUGUGAGUGAAGCAUGUAGUUUGAGGUAGUGUUCCCUUAAUUUCCCGAGUGAGGAAAACUUCUCGGUUGGAGACUUGAAAAAUCCAAGUCACUGAGUGGUCGUGAGACUGCCGAGUAUCAAGGUGCAGUAGCAUAUGGUGGGAGUCCCCCAAGUCUUCAGGCGAAGAGAGUUGCCGAAUGAGGUGUCUAGCUAGUAGUCAAUGUCAUGAGUAGGAAAACUUCACUUGUUUCUUUUCGAAGUGGUAACCCAGGGCGCUUUCUUCAUAUAUUGUUGUUUUUUUUUGUUAUGAAGAUGUGUUAGGCCCAAAGAAGUGGAGGCCUAGGCCCUUUUUUCUUUUUCUUUUUUUUGUUUUUUUUUGUUUUUUUUUUUGUUUUUUUUUGUUUUUUUUUGUCGACUGAGUGGGAUGUUUUCAGCUGAAUCCAAAUAGGGGGAUGUUUUCAGCCGAAUCCAAGGAGGGGGGAAAGCAUGACUCAUCAUCAUUUGUCAUGAUGUUGUUCCCACACUUCAUCAUCAUUUACUACUUUUCCUUUUCUUCUUCAUAAUAUGCCAUCAAUGUGUUUAAUUUUCGUUUGCUUUGCCUUUCCUUUUUGGCUGGAAAGAUUGCCAUCUUUCCUCACAAUCUGAUUUGCUGCAGCCUUGUUGAAGGAAAUGUGGGUGUUGGAGCUAGGUAAACCAAGGAGGGUGUCUACGUAGAGGGAGUGGUAGCUCUUCAAUAUAACACCAUUUUCUGUGGCUCAAAUCGCAAAACCAUCUUCAUGAAAGUUGUUCCUUAGCUCGUGAACUACAACAUAUCCGAAUUGGAGAUCCAUCGGAGCAGUACAACUCCAGAAAUUCAGGUAUGAUGAGUGAUUGUUCGUCAUUUGUAUAUCAACGCGUCAGACUUGUUGUGAGCUUCAAAAACUCCAUUUUCUCUUGCUCAGAUCAACAUACUUUCUUCAUCGAAGUUGUUCCUUAACUUGUGAACUACAACAUAUCCAAAAUUGAGAUCCCUCGGAGCUGUAUAACUCAAGAAAUUCAGGUAUGAUGAAUGACUGGUUAUUAUUUUUCUGUCAACCCGUCAGAUUUGUUGUGAGCUUCGAAACUCCAUUUUCUAUUGUUCAGAUCAGCAUGCUUUCUUCAUUGAAGUUGUUCCUCAUCGUCUCUUUCAUAACAUAUCAAAAAUUCAGAAUGAACUAAUGGUUAAAUAUUUCCAGAUCUUCGAAACAUCACAGCAGCUUCGAAAUCUGCAAGAAUCCGACUGUCAUGUUUGGAGCUUCAACACUUUAAUUUCCGUCGCUCAAACAGAAAUGGUUCCUUCUUGAAAGUUGUUCAUAUGCUCAAAAACUAUAGGGUGUCCAAAAUUCAGCUCCAUUGGAGAAGAGCAGAGGUUGCAGAAAUUUGAUAGAUGAAAGGAGGCGGAAGAGGGAGAGAGAGAAAAAGUCUCUUGGGUUGGAUUUCUAUUUUGGGGCAGAUUCCAAUUUUUGUAGCACCUUCAUUAUUGAUGAAUUGCUUGUACUUUUGUCCAUUAUGAAACUUGGGACUUUGGCUGUUUGUUGGAUCUAUUAUAAUAUGUUUGGGAACAUAUAUAAGUGAAUAAAUAAGAAGGAAAAUUUUGGGCCCUUGUGGGUGUAAAACAAAAAAUGUUUAUGUUUACCCAAGUGUUUUUGUACAAGUUCAAGGGCAUCUUGGGUUUUGUGAACAAAAUUUGUUUAUUUGGAGCAAGGUUUUGUGUUGAAGCUUUGUAGGUGAAGCUUUGGUGUUGAAGCUUUGUAGGUGAAGCUUUGUAGAUGAAGCUUUCUAGGUGAAGCUUUGAUGGUGAAGCUUUGUAGAUGAAGCUUUGUAGAUGAAGCUUUCUGGGUGAAGCUUUGAUGGUGAAGCUUUGUAGAUGAAGCUUUCUGGGUGAAGCUUUGAUGGUGAAGCUUUGUAGAUGAAGCUUCUGGGUGAAGCUUUGAUGGUGAAGCUUUGUAGAUGAAGCUUUCUGGGUGAAGCUUUGUGGUGAGCUUUUAGAUGAAGCUUUCUGAAGCUUGUAGAUGAAGCUUUCUAGGUGAAGCUUUGAUGGUGAAGCUUUCUGGGUGAAGCUACGUAGGUGAAGCUUUGUAGAUGAAACUUUCUGGGUGAAACUUUUUGGAUGAAGCUUUUUUUUUUUUUUUUUUUUUUUUUUUGGGUGAAGCUGUUUUAAGUGAAGUUUUUUUUUGCUGUGUAUGAAUAGAUCUAUUGUUUGGAUAUAAGCCAUUGUUUGGUUGUUCCUUUCUUUGUAUAGUCUUGUCGACACAUACUUAGAUUUUGUUUCGUGUUGGAUAUAUCUGCUUUGAGGUUUCAACACUUGAGUGUUCCAUUGCUAGGAAUGUAAAAGAGUGAGGGCCAAGUUGGCUAAAUUACCUCUUUAGUGAAUUCAUUGCCAAAUGGCCUUCAUUACAUAGGAUGCCGAACGGCUAUAGCUCAACACUUGUACAUCGUGAGUCUAUUUGUAGUAGUACUUCAAGUGAUCAGCGUUCCAUGGAUGGCCAAGGGUCUUGCCAUCGGAGCUUCUAAGUGUGUAAGAGCCAGGGCGACUGAUGCCAAUGACUUCAUACGGUCCAUCCCAGUUUGGACUAAGUGUGCCUUCACUCGGGACUCUGUCGCAGAGUAAUCUUUUCUUUAAGACCCAGUCUCCUAUUUUGAAAGAGCGAGGCUUGACCCUAGAGUCAUAAUAGUUGGAGAUGCGCUGCUUGUAGGCGACAUUCCUCAAGUGAGCUUGGUUUCUGUGUUCCUCGACUAAAUCCAAGUUGAGGGUGAGUUGUUUGUCAUUUUCACUUUGAAUGUAGUUCUGGACUCGGAAUGUUGCUUGCUCGAGCUCAACAGGGACAACCGCCUCUGUGCCAAAGGCAAGUGAGAAUGGAGUUUUUCUCCUGUUGAAGUCCGAUAUGAAGUGCGAUAUGACCAAAGAACUUGGGGUACAAAUUCUGGCCAACAGCCUUUAGCUUUGUCCAAGCUGGUUUUCAAAGUGCGCUUGAUUAUUUUGUUGAUGGCCUCAACUUGUCCAUUAGACUGGGGAUGAGCUGGAGAGGCAAAGCAUAAGUUGAUGUUGAACUUAGAGCAGAACAACCUGAACUUCUUGUUGUCGAACUGUCGCCCAUUGUCAGUGACUAUCGCAUUGGGAAUGCCGAAUCUACAAAGGAUGUUCUUCCACACGAAGUCUUCUAUCUUUGCCUCAGUAAUGGUUGCCAAGGGUUCUACUUCGGCCCACUUUGUGAAGUAGUCCACUGCAACGACUGCGUAACAGACUUUGCCCUUCCCUGCCGGCAUUGGGCCGAUCAAAUCAAGUCCCCACUGGGCGAAGGGCCAAGGGCUGAUCAUAGGAGUAAGAGGCUUUGGAGGGGAAUGAGGAAUAGCCGCAUAUCGUUGACAUUUGUCACAUGAGCGGGAUACUUUGAUGGCAUCCUGGUGGAGUGUUGGCCAGUAAUAUCCUUGGCGAAAAGUCUUGUGUGCUAGGGACCGAGAUCCAGCAUGAUCUCCACAGACUCCCUCAUGUAUUUCCCGAAGGACGAUUUCCGCCUCGGCAGGCGUAAGACACCUUAAGUAUGGCAGGCUAAAACCUCGCUUAUAGAGUUGAUCAUUGAUGAUCAGGUAGCGGGUAGACUUGUAUCGAAUUUGCUUAGCCUGGACUUUAUCAUUUGGGAGGGUGCCAUGAGCAAGGAAAUUAUAGAUCGGGGUGAUCCAACUAUCCCCCUGUUGUAAGUUGCAUACUUCUGCGGCCAUGGUGCUUGGUGUUGCCAACAGUUCGACAUGAAUUUUUCUUCCAAUCUUGUCUUCCACAGCCGAGGCGAGGCGAGCCAGGGCGUCUGCAUGACUGUUUGCCGCUCGAGGAACUUGGGUGAUCUGGUAGUGGAAGUGCUUGAGCAAAAGUUGUGUUUGCACAAGAUAUGCUGCCAUGGAGCUGUCCUUAGCAUCAAAGUUGUUGGUAACCUGGUUGACCACCAAUUGGGAGUCACUGAAAAUAUCAAUUUGUUUAACCCCGAGGUGUUUGGCCAAACGUAAUCCUGCUAGAAGGGCUUCAUACUCGGCCUCAUUAUUUGAUGCCUUGAAUUUGAAACGAAUAGCAUACUCCAUUGCUACUUUGUCGGGUGUAGUCAAGACUAGUCCCGCUCCACAGCCCUGUUGGUUGGAUGAGCCAUCAACAUACAGACUCCAUGCUGGGGUUGUUGGUUCUAUCUUCUGAGCUUCCGGGGGUAAUGAAGCCACUGUUUUAGGUGUAGAAGCAAUGUCAACCGGAUAUGUGAAGUCGGCAAUGAAGUCUGCCACUGCUUGGCCCUUCUCAGCUGGCUUUGGUUGGUAGGAGAUGUCAAACUCACCCAACGCUAUUGCCCAUUUGAUCAUUCGCCCUGAAGUGUCAGGACUUUGGAGUAUCUGUCGAAGAGGAUAAUUGGUAAGCACGAUGAUGGAGUGCGCUUGGAAGUAAGGGCGGAGUUUUCGAGCAGACAUGACCAAUGCCAGAGCCAAUUUCUCAAUGUUAGAGUACCGUGUCUCCGCAUCUUGUAAAGCUUUGCUAGCGUAGUAGACAUGUCGCUCAAUAUUCCCAUCCUUUCGAAUGAGAACGGAACUUACGGCUGAAGCUGAUACCGAUAGGUAGAUAAUGAGAAUGUCUUCUACCUCGGGCUUGGAGAGUAGAGGGGCUUUACUUAUGUACUCCUUGAGGUUUUUGAAUGCCUCGGCACAUUCAUCAGUCCAUGUAAUGUACUUCCUACUUCCCUUAAGUGCUUUAAAAAAGGGAGCACAUUUGUCUGUGGCCUUAGAAAUGAACCUGGUUAAGGCUGCCACCUUGCCAGUAAGGCUCUGGAUGUCCUUUGAAGUUACCGGUUCCUUCAUGUCGAGGAUUGCUUUGAUCUUCUCGGGAUUAGCUUCAAUGCCUCGUUGGCUAAUCAUGAAACCUAAGAAUUUGCCAGAGCCUACGCCGAAGGCACAUUUGUUGGGGUUUAACCUCAUUCGAUACCUCUUCAAAAUAGUGAAAGUUUCAGAUAGGUUGGUGAUGUGUUGGUCAGCAUGUUUGCUCUUGACUAACAUAUCAUCAACGUAAACUUCCAUGCUCUUCCCAAUCUGCUCGGCGAACAUUGAGUUGACUAGUCUCUGAUAAGUCGCUCCUGCAUUCUUUAGGCCGAAAGGCAUGACUUUAUAGCAGUAUAGUCCUCUGUCGGUAGUGAAGGCUGUGUGUUCUUGAUCCGAAGGGUUCAUGAGGAUUUGGUUGUAUCCUGAGUAAGCAUCCAUGAAGCUCAGGAGUUCACACCCGGCCGUAGAGUCUAUAAGUCUGUCAAUAAGAGGAAGAGGGAAGCUAUCUUUCGGACACCCUUUGUUUAGGUCGGUGUAGUCAACACACAUUCUCCACAAGACCUUUUGAAGCAAAAGACUUUCUUUGGUCGGAUUUUUCUUAACAAGGACCACAUUUGCUACCCAUGUCGGGUAAUUGACUUCGCGGACAAAGCCUAUGCCUUUGAGUUUUUCAACUUCUGCUUUCAUUGCCUCGUAUCGUUCAGCGUCAUAAAAUCUUCGCUUCUGUCUCACCGGCUUGAUCUUGGGGUCAAUACUCAAACGAUGACAGAUGACAUCGGGAGAGAUGCCUGGCAUGUCCUCGUAUGACCAGGCGAAGACUUCAGUGUUCUCUUUCAAAAAAGAUAUCAAUGUUAACCGAAGGGGUGGUGACAAUGUGGUGCCAAUCUUCACCAUGCGAUCUGGAUAAUCUCUUGAGAUAGGUACCUUCUCCAACUCUUCAGCAGGUUGGGCUUGCUGGGUGAAAGAGUCAUCUCGAGGAUCAUCGGGUUGAUUGUUGCUAUCAGGAAGAUCCAAGUUCGCUUCAUCUAGGCUGGUCUUUGUGACUUGGUCAUGUACAGACAGGGUUUCCUUGGGUCCGGGCAAGUGUUGUUGCUUAACUGAAGUGUUGUAACAUGAUCGUGCACUAAGCUGAUCUCCUCUGAUGUAGCCGUUGCCAUGGGGGUUGGAAAUUUCAUCAACAGCAUAUGCGUGGAUACCAUAGCCUUGAGAUCAUUGAUGUCUGUGCGCCCAAAGAUGACAUUGUAUGCCGUUGGGCAGUCAACCACUAGGAAGUUAGUGGUAAUGGUAGCCGUGUAAGGGCCUGUACCAAUAGUAAAGGGUAAAUGUAUGCUCCCUAAGGGUUGCACGAUAUCACCGGAGAAGCUUAUCAGAGGAGAAAUCGAGCGAUCGAGCAAGUGUUCAGCUACACUGAGUGCCCUGAAAGCUUCGGCAAACAUGAUAUUGACCGAAGCCCCUGUGUCUACGAGGAUUCGUCGAACAUCAAAGUUGGCUAUGUGAGCCUCCACGAUCAAUGGGUCGUUAUGAGGGUAGAUGAUGCCUCUUUCUUCCUCAGGUAGAAACAUAUCGGAUCCCAGUUAGGCUUUUGAUACUUCCCUCCCCUGAUGUCUUCCACGUGAAACACUUGGUGACCAGGCCUCAGAAUUCGUUCACUGUUUUUCAUGGCCCUAUUGGAAGAUUCAGAUAUGGGUGUGCCGCCGCUUAUGGAAUAUAUGACAUUCACCUGGCGUUGGUUACGGUUAUCCCUUUGAGGGUGAAGGAGGAAUUGAUCAAUUUUUCUUUCUCGUGCCAAAGCUUCAAUACGAUCACGGAGGAUGAUACAUUUCUCGCUAUCAUGGCCGUUAUGCUCAUGGUAGCAACAAAACAUGCCCGCGUUAUUCGGGGGACACCUGGGUGCCUCGGCUUUGGCUUUGGUAUCAGGUGAGCUAUGCUGGGGUAAAUGGCCGCGCAUGUGGCGUUCAAGGGCGUGUAUGUCUCAUACCUUGGGGUAGGGGGUAUCUUGACGCGGGUUUGACCCACUGCAUUGACUGCCUGGGGGCGAGCGUUAUUGUGGCGAUACCCUUGGUUAUCGGGAUAGUGUCCCUUACUCUUUUUACUGAAAUGAGAGUGGUGAGGAUGGAAAUCCUUCCUCUUGCCUUGAAAUUGAUAUGUCUGUUGAUUCGGCGAAGCAUUAUGCAAGGCAUGGGGAGGUGCCACUGCUGUUUGGAAAGUCGAGGUCUUCUCAUUUAGGUGAGUCUGGCUUCCACCUCCCACUUGUUGAUAAAGGAUGGUUGUAGGGGGUUUCUCCUGAUAUGUCUUUGCCUCGGCGGAGGCAUGGUUAUAAGCCUACGCCAUCACCUCAGAGUAAGUCUUCCAAGUAUUGGCAUUGAUCAUGUAUUUAAAGAAACAAUCACGUAGGCCUGCCAUGAAGGCUUUGAGGGCAGUCUUGUCGUCUGCCUCGGCACACCGGGAGUAUUCAUUGCUGAAGCGGCCAGCAUACAUACGUAAUGACUCGUCUGGCUUCUGGCAGAUAGUGUACAGGUCAUCUGCAGAGUGCAAGCGAUCGGUUUGGAAAAUGUGUUGGGAAACAAAUAGUUUCCUCAAUUCCUCAAAUGAGUCUACCGUCUCAGGUGUAAGAUGACAAUACCAAUUUAGAGCUCCACCAGAGAGGGUGGAGGGGAAGAGAAGACAUCGCUCUUCGUCGGUGUGCAUCCGGUAUGCCAUGGUGGACUCAAAAGAGGUUAAGGUGCUCAAUCGGGUCCUCUUUUCCAGUAUAAAGUUGCAAGCCAAGCUUUUGCUUGGUCUUUGCUUGAAGGGGGGUGUUGAGGAUCCUCCUUGUAAGAGGGCCAGGCCUGGGUUGGUUCCAGUCAGGUAUUUCAGCCUGACGUUCAGCCUUCAACUUGUUUACUUCCUCAAGAAGUUGUAGGACAAGGGGUCCUGAGCGGAGUUAUGUGUCACUGGAGCUUUCUUUCGUAAAUCUCCAUCUCCUCUUGGAAUUAGGAAGGUUUGAUCAAGGGCAUGUGAUUUUUCCCUGGACUCGCUGUACUGGCUUCCAGGGUAUGUCUGUCGGAACACCUCUGAGUCCCCUGUACCCUCAUGUCUCUCUAGGACUUGUUGCCCCUUCCCCAAAUUGGUGGCCGGCUUGGGCCGUGGCAGGGGACCGAGUCUCUCAGAAAUCCUUGGGUCAUUAAUCUUUGAGCUUAUAUGGAUGGAAUUCUCUCGACGUUGCUUCAGGAAAUCCCGACAAUCGCGAAAAGACGGCUUUCGAUCCUUCUGCCCCUUCAGCAAAAGAGGUGUCUCCCUCCACUUCUCAUGGUUCGGGUCGAAGCAACUGGGUUAAGAGAAGCCUCAUGUUGAUUAUCAAGUCGAGGGGUAAUCUGUUCCCUAUCAGGGAUAUCUAUGUCGAAUGCAUGUGACCCUCCAUGUUGGAGGGCACCCAGUUGAUGGUUGACUUCCACGGGGGCAACAAGCUCGCGUGUCUGAGCUUGCCUAGCUUCGUGGAGUGUCUCGAAGAGCUUCUCAUAUUGCUCCUGGAGGACCUCAUUCCUCAUUGCUAUCUUGUUGUUCUGAGCUUCCAACUCAUCGACUUUAGCUUGAAGAAGAACUCGUUUUCCUUCCUUCUUUCGUUGUUUCGCACUAUGUGCAAGGGGGGUGUCAUUCUGUGUGCUGUGGCUUCCUUCGCUUCCCAUGUUGAGAGGGGAUGCCUGGUCAAAAGAAAGUGUACGAAUGAUAGAAACCAGCUUGACACAGCUGAAGAGAGUAGGAAUAAGUGUCGUUUCCCACAGACGGCGCCAAAUGUUGAUGCACAAAAUCAGCGAAGACUUUGGUACAACAGAAAGUGUCAGGUUUUGUGACCUUCGCUUGGUUGCUUCGGUCACUAGUGAGGAUAAGUACGUAAAUGAAUAGAGACAGAGAAGCAAACACAGGAUGUACGUGGUUCACCCAGAUUGGCUACGUCCACGGAGUAGAGGAGUUCUUAUUAGUAGUGAAGGGCUUACACAAGUACAAAGGAUCAAGCUCUCAAUUUAGUGAGUUCUUGUGAAUGAUUUAACACAAAUGGCAUUAGGCCAUAUUGUGGGGGAAUGACCCCUAUUUAUAGAAAAACUUGUAGCUUUGUCACAUUGACAUGUGUCAUGUUAUGAUUGGUUCUUGAUGUCGACACGUGCUGCGCUCUGAUUGGCUUCUAAUCUUGACACGUGUCGAGUAGUGAUUGGCCUCCUGGUCGGAGGGGAACUCUUCUGGGUCCUUGACAGUAUAGCGUUGGCCGGUGCUCGGUAGUUUCGGGAUUGGUCAAGUAUGGUACAAACAUCUUGUAUUUGAAUCACCCUUCCAAUAUCGCUUAUAUUAAAAGAAUACAAAGACAUGUAACUCAAGUAAUAGCGAUACACAUCUCGUAUUUUGAUAAACUAUGAAAGAAAUACACUAAAAUGUGCUUUAUCGCAUGUCUAAUGUUCCUUGAGCCACGAGAUUAUGUAUUUUGAAUGAAGUUAAAUAUGAGCACAACAAAAAGUUUAAAAAAGGAAAACAAAGGUAUUUUGAUAAGGACAUGUAACUUAAGUGGUCUCUCGUGAGUUAUGUUUUGGUCUCAACGAUUUCACAGUGGUCUCACGUGGUGUGAGAGCUAUUCUAGUUACAACUUCAUUGAAAUUUCAAAAACCACACUAGAUUUUGAUUGCAGCGCCCAAUAUUGAAAAGAUUAUAUAACUCAAGUGGUUAAGAGCAUUUCACGUGAGCUCAAAGUCUUGUAUUUGAAUCACCCUCCUAGUAUCGCUUAUAUUAAAAGAAUACAAAGACAUGUAACUCAAGCAAUAGGGAUACACAUCUCGUAUUUUAAUAAACUAUGAAAGAAAUACACUAAAAUAUGCUUCAUCGCAUGUCUAAUGUUCCUUGAAUGACGAGAGUACGUAUUUUGAAUGAAGUUAAAUACGAGCACGACAAAAAGUUUAAAAAAGGAAAACAAAGGUAUUUUAAAAUACCUCAUAUUUUCAAUAUUCAAAUAAUCUGUGAGAUGCCAGAGAAUCCCGAGAGUCUCCAUAGCAUUACCCAACUCCAAAACCCUAUCUAUCUUUAGUCUAUCUGCCAGUUUCGAUCCGAAGACCUAUGGGAUUCGAACAGCUCUCAAACCCAACAAUGUACAAGGGAACCAGCGACAAAAAUCUACAAAGAAUUACACUAAACCGUAACAAAAAUAUUGGGCCUAAAGCCCAUAACAGCACAUUCAUAUAGAGGCGGCCC